rnacentral:lncRNA from 1 species
AUGAUGUAUGCAUUCUUAUGCAUUCAUUCUUUAUACACAAACUGUAACGCCCCAAUAGUCCCACGUCGGCUGAGAAACUAAUUCUGAUUAGAAUAUAUGAAAUCUAUAUGCUAGUUAUAAUAACUGGGCUUAAACAUUUUGGGCCGGUGGUUUGGCCCAACGAGUUAUUGUUACUAACGGGUCGGAUCGUUGCAUUUGAUAUCAGAGUCGAAUACCAGCCGAAAAUGUAACCGCUAAGUGCUGUUAGUGAUAUACCCUAAAGCCAAUCGAUGACAUAGGCUUGUGAACAUAUUAAGUAUUUUUUUUAAUUAAUAAAGGGCAAGUUUUAUUCAUAUUUAUUGUUAGCAGUACAAUACAUUUAUAUGAAUCGUCCAUUGAAUCUUCGUUAAGAAAAUAUAUUCCUAAGAGUUAGGAAUUUGAGAUAUAUAUUUAUUUGUACAAGAUUCUUAAAUGCUCCUAGCCAUAGGAAUAUCAUAAGGACGAUGAUAUUUCCGGAUAGGCUGGUGUAUGCUGUACUUCUAAAUUGAGGUGACGAAUCUCAAGUCAUUGGUGUAAGGACACUAAAGUAAGCAUGCAGGUGCUUGUUAGCGAACAAGUACACUGAGCGUGACCAUUUAAGUGAACAGUCACAUGGUUCCGAAUUCGCCAGUAAUUAGUUCUUUGCUACAGUUGUGUGAAGUACUCCUUAGACCUGAGGCAUCAUGGUUGCUUCACAUGUAGAUUGCUACUGUUUGACUGUGCUAAUACUUAGACUCUAAUCAUUGGUCUANAGCUCUUGGACUCCGUAGGAUUUGAUUGUGUAGACAGUCGAUUAUUUUUUUAUAAUUUUUUGGUUAUUUAAUUACAAAUUAUUAUUUUUGACAAAGAUUUUGGUAAAAUUAGCACACGUGCAUAUAUUUUCUAUAUUGUUGUAGAAUGGAUUGAUAGUAUGUCGCAGGCUGAUUGGCCCUCUCACAUGGGCAAUCAUUCUUUUCGGUGCUGUAAAGAGCGAGUGAAAAUUGAGGCAUUAAUAGAAGCCGCCUUGGUUGGCACCAAGAUGAGAUUAUUAAUGAGACCGUAUACGAAUAGUCCCACGAUUCGUAUGGCCUGAAUACUAAUAGCCGGAUGUGAGCUCACCGUUUGGCGCUUGAGAUAGCGAGCAAAUGGAGAACUCAGGCUAGACACUCCGGGAGUGACUGAGCUAAGAUCCGUAUAACAUUGAGAAAGACAUACGCUUAUUGGGAUUCUCUGUCAUAGCAUGUAUUUCAUACUACAUGUGCUGGGCGAUUAAAUGAAGAAGAUGAGUGAAUGGAUCCCUGCUUCCUCAUCGUGUGAGUUCUCACGGGCAUUAUUUUGAGACGAUGUCUUAUAUAUGUUAGAUGCCCUUAGUGACUUUUGACUAUGUCAUUAAGUGAAAGAAUUGAUGUUGCUACUUUGGCAUGUUACCUACGGCUAUGAGUGAUGCGGCUUUACGGGGCAUUGCCGGGAAAGCAAUCAGUUCUCAACUCAAUGGCAUGAGGACUCAAGGAAGACUAGUUGAGUUACAUUCAGACACUUUGACUCAUUGUCGACAGAUUGUGUCGCUUCAGCAUAGCGAAGCAAUCAUGAGUAUUGUGUCAUAAUAUGCGCAAAAGAGGUUAGCAUGGCUCUUUGAGGGAUUAGAGAUGCUGAACCUGAUGUAAUUCAAUAGUCUAGGGCAUCACGAGUCUAAUAUUCCUUUUAAGGGUUCAUGUCUCUAUGUUUGCCGUAUGCGGUUUCUAGUAUAGAGCUCCCAAAAUGCAGGUUGACUCGGCGGUCGCACUGUUCAUUUUCCUGUAUGAAUAGAAUUAAUAGUGGUGUGAUNUAUUGUUAGCAGUACAAUACAUUUAUAUGAAUCGUCCAUUGAAUCUUCGUUAAGAAAAUAUAUUCCUAAGAGUUAGGAAUUUGAGAUAUAUAUUUAUUUGUACAAGAUUCUUAAAUGCUCCUAGCCAUAGGAAUAUCAUAAGGACGAUGAUAUUUCCGGAUAGGCUGGUGUAUGCUGUACUUCUAAAUUGAGGUGACGAAUCUCAAGUCAUUGGUGUAAGGACACUAAAGUAAGCAUGCAGGUGCUUGUUAGCGAA